GUUCUUGCUUAGCACAUAACAAAUAGAUUGCUCUGCGCAUCAGUAAGUAUUGAUUAACGUGGUUGUAUGAAAGAGACUGCUUUAUGGCUGGAAAAAGGAUGUUAGCACAUCAAAGAAUGAUUAUAUCCAUCUACACAAAAAGCUUUUGCAGUCAGUUGUUUUAUAUAAUCACAUCUAUUUUUUUUUCCAAAAUGACUACUUUUACCGGAAAUCUAUUUAAAACUAAUUUUCGCUAAGAU